UACGAAGGGGGCUAGCGUUGUUCGGAAUUACUGGGCGUAAAGCGCGUGUAGGCGGGUCUUUAAGUCAGGGGUGAAAUGCCAAGGCUCAACCUUGGAACUGCCUUUGAUACUGGAGACCUUGAGUCCGGGAGAGGUGAGUGGAAUUGCGAGUGUAGAGGUGAAAUUCGUAGAUAUUCGCAAGAACACUAGUGGCGAAGGCGGCUUACUGGUCCGGUACUGACGCUGAGGUGCGAAAGCGUGGGGAGCAAACAGG
rnacentral:rRNA from 1 species